AACGCGAAGAACCUUACCAGGCCUUGACAUGCAGAGAACUUUCCUAGAGAUGGAUUGGUGCCUUCGGGAACUCUGACACAGGUGCUGCAUGGCUGUCGUCAGCUCGUGUCGUGAGAUGUUGGGUUAAGGUCCCGCAACGAGCGCAACCCCUAUCUUAUGUUGCCAGCACGUUAUGGUGGGGACUCGUAAGAGACUGCCGGGGUCAACUCGGAGGAAGGUGGGGACGACGUCAAGUCAUCAUGGCCCUUACGGCCUGGGCUACACACGUGCUACAAUGGUCGGUACAAAGGGUUGCCAAGCCGCGAGGUGGAGCUAAUCCCAUAAAACCGAUCGUAGUCCGGAUCGCAGUCUGCAACUCGACUGCGUGAAGUCGGAAUCGCUAGUAAUCGUGAAUCAGAAUGUCACGGUGAAUACGUUCCCGGGCCUU
rnacentral:rRNA from 1 species